GCACUGCCUUGGAGUACCAGCCACGCCUGCGCAUGGGACCAGGGGUCAGGACGUGACGCCAUAGCACGCGCUUGCGUACUGGACUGCGUGCUGAACUC
ensembl:snoRNA